UACGUAGGGAGCGAGCGUUAUCCGGAUUUAUUGGGUGUAAAGGGCGCGUAGACGGCGUAGCAAGUUGGUUGUGAAAUCCCUGGGCUUAACUCAGGAACUGCAACCAAAACUGUUUAGCUUGAGUAUGGGAGAGGAAAGCGGAAUUCCUAGUGGAGCGGUGAAAUGCGUAGAUAUUAGGAGGAACACCAGUGGCGAAGGCGGCUUUCUGGACCAAAACUGACGUUGAGGCGCGAAAGUGUGGGGAG
rnacentral:rRNA from 1 species